rnacentral:rRNA from 1 species
AGCAAACGCUGGCGGCAGGCCUAACACAUGCAAGUCGAGCGGCCGUAGCAAUACGGCAGCGGCAGACGGGAGAGUAACACGUGGGAACGCGCCCUUUGGUUCGGAAUAACUCAGGGAAACUUGAGCUAAUACCGGAUAAGCCCUUACGGGGAAAGAUUUAUCGCCAAAGGAACGGCCCGAGUCCGAUUAGCUAGUUGGUGAGGUAAUGGCUCACCAAGGCGACGAUCGGUAGCUGGUCUGAGAGGAUGACCAGCCUCACUGGCACUGAGACACGGCCCAGACUCCUACGGGAGGCAGCAGUGGGGAAUAUUGGACAAUGGGCGCAAGCCUGAUCCAGCCAUGCCGCGUGAGUGAUGAAGGCCUUAGGGUUGUAAAGCUCUUUUAGCAGGGAAGAUGAUGACGGUACCUGCAGAAAAAGCCCCGGCUAACUUCGUGCCAGCCGCCGCAGUAAAAC